CAGUAGCCGCGGGAAAACAGAGGGUGCAAGCGUUAAUCGGAAUUACUGGGCGUAAAGCGCGCGUAGGUGGUUUGUUAAGUUGGAUGUGAAAUCCCCGGGCUCAACCUGGGAACUGCAUCCAAAACUGGCAAGCUAGAGUAUGGUAGAGGGUGGUGGAAUUUCCUGUGUAGCGGUGAAAUGCGUAGAUAUAGGAAGGAACACCAGUGGCGAAGGCGACCACCUGGACUGAUACUGACACUGAGGUGCGAAAGCGUGGGGAGCAAACAGGAUUAGAUACCCCAGUAGUCCCUGUCUCUUAUAC
rnacentral:rRNA from 1 species